UCUCGAUAAACGAACCGAGCUCGUUUAUCAGAAUUUCGAGAACGAGCUUGUGUUUUCUAUAUUUAUAUAGAAUUACGAGUGCAAUGAAAGUGAGUAGAGGUUGAGAGGGCGAGUAACGAAGAGUAUGGGUAGUUAGUCGUUAAAACGAGACGAAACGAGAUAUUUAACGACUAACGGGUUAAUAUCCUAAAUAUCUAACCUACCCUACCCCUAACCACCCCCCCAACUGCCCACUAUCCCUCUAUCUCACCUAACUCACGUUGAUUUUCAGCCCACACACAACUCACACACACUAACACCUAAAACACACACACCAUUCACGCAUAUACCAUUUUUAGCUUGAGCUCAAGCUUUUGAGCUCCGUUUUGAGCGAGAAGACGAGCCCCGAUCAUCUUUUCGAACACGUAUCUAAGUAGGUCCUUUUGGGAAGUAACGACUUGAGGGAGAGAGUGACGUUACUCAUUGAUACAGAGACACAACGAGGUUGAGCUGAUGUGAUGAUGGUGCUGCAAUGAGCGGAGUCUCCAGGGUUGUUAAUAAAUAGUUAACCUGUCUAGAAUAUGUCUUCAUACAUAUGUCUAGCUACUUUCCGCUGCAAGAUGUUGUUGAUGUUAUAGUAUGUUAUGUCAUACUUUGAGUCUUAAGAGAAUGGUUUCAUACGAUGUAUAACUUGAUUAAUGAUAUUAAUUAAGUUUUAUGCUGUCUUUCAUAGACUGUUUUCAAUUGAGUAUUAAUGAAUAAAAAUGACGAGUUUUAUUAA